rnacentral:misc_RNA from 1 species
GAUGAAGAACGUAGCGAAAUGCGAUAAGUAAUGUGAAUUGCAGAAUUCAGUGAAUCAUCGAAUCUUUGAACGCACCUUGCGCCCUUUGGCUAUUCCGAAGGGCAUGCCUGUUUGAGUAUCGUGAACACCUCAACUCUCAUGGUUUGCCAUGAUGAGCUUGGACUUUGGGGGAUUUGCUGGCCUUUGGUCGGCUCCUCUCAAACGGAUCAGCUUUCCAGUGUUUGGUGGCAUCACGGGUGUGAUAACUAUCUACGCCUGUGGUUUUCUGCCAGAUAACCUUCAGCGAUGGAGGUUCGCUGGGGCUCAUAAAUGUCUCUCUUCAGUGGAGACAGCUUUUUGGACGUUUGAUCUCAAAUCAGGUAGGACUACCCGCUGAACUUAAGCAUAUCAAUAAGCGGAGGA